rnacentral:misc_RNA from 1 species
CUGAGUCUGGGUGGCCCCUAAACCGGGCGCCCGACCUCUUAAACCCAGUGUCAAAAUUACACCUUGAAUGUUGCUUCGGCGGGACCGUCGUUAACCCGACCGCCGGGGGACUAGUUACCCAACCGGUUCUCUGGAGCGUUUGCCCGCCGAUGGCCUCAACCAAAACUCUUGAACAAAACCAUGUCUAAAACGUAUACCCAUGAAUUAAAUGGAUAAACA